rnacentral:tRNA from 1 species
CCUUGGCUAGCUCAGUCGGUAGAGCAUGAGGUUCUUCAUCUCAGGGUCGUGGGUUUGAGCCCCUCGUUGGGCG